AAAGUGUUAUUUGACUGGAGUGAGGUCUCAUGUCUGCUUAUGCGGUGGCUCGCUGCUCAGAACAGGGAGGAAGAGGGUAAUCUGGAAGAGUUUCCUGACCUACUCUGCUGCUGUGAUUAAACAACCACCAGGAAAUUUUGAUGACACUGUUCUCCUGAGCUCCUCCCUUUCCUCGGGGAAGAAAAGCAUUGAAACUACAAAAAUAAAGUGUUAUUUGGCUGGAGUGAGGUCUCAUGUCUGCUUAUGCGGUGGCUCGCUGCUCAGAACAGGGAACCAUUGGAGAUACUCAUUACUCUUUGAAGGCUUACAGUGGAAUGAAUUCAAAUACGACUUAUUUGAGGAAUUGAAGUUGACUUUAUGGAGCUGAUAAGAAUCUUCUUGGAGAAAAAAAGACUGGGUAUAUUUUCAAUAUGCUUUCCUUUUAAGGUCCCUCACCUGUGGAAAGUAAAGAAUGUCACUUUCUGACAGGCUCAGGAACCUCAAGUUAUGUAGGGAUCUCAAGAAGAUGGGGGAAUUCACCCAGUUCAUACAGGUGAAAUUGCUGUUGCAAAGAUUAUGAAUAUGAGAGAAGUCCAGCAUGGCUGACUUCAUCUCGUGUCUGGCCUCAGGCUGGCUGCCCUUGCUCACUCUUGGGCAUAGGCCAAGCUAGCCAUGGGAGGAAUUUAGUUUAUAGUUUAACUUUGAAGCACGGAUGAUAAUAGUCUCUCCCUAAAAUGAACCCCUUCCUUGCUCAGGGACUGAAACUACCUUUGUAUGACAAAUGAAAGCCCACAAGAUUAAGAUUAUGAGAGGGGCCUGAAUUCUGCUAAAAUGCAGGUGUAGCUGACUGAUAACAAGUCAUUGUCCCACAGCUUGCCUUUCUAUAAUCUCUUGCUUCUCAGGAGUCACAUGGCCAGAGGUCCUGAGAUUUCCAGUCCUGUGACCCCCACCCAGAGAUGGACUUAGUGCAUGAGGACCAUUUUCCACACCCCUAUGAUUUCAUCCUCAAACAAUCAGCAGCAACCAUUCCCUAGCCCCCUGCCUUCCAAAUUAUCCAUAAAAAUCCUAGCCUCUGAGUUAUUAGGGAGAUUGAUUAAUAAUCCCAGUCCUACCCCUUGGGUUGCUCUGAUUUAAUUAAACCUUCUCUACUGCAAUACCACGGACUCAGUAAAUUGGUUUUGUCUGUGCAAUGGGCAAGAAGAACAUGUUGCAUGGUUAUACAGGUACUACAAGCACAGUCUGAUGGCAAAUUAUUGGUUUUGCUUCCUGCCCUUGAUGUUUCUAAACAUCUAGUCCAAAAUUACUUGUGAAAGGUCCAGCAAAGCCAAUUUUAAAAGAGGCUAUAUGGCCAAUCACUAUUCUUUCUACACAUUAUUGCAAAUAAUCAGGCCACGGCUGGGCACGGUGGCUCAUGCCUGCAAUCCCAGCACUUUGGGAGGCUGAGGCAGGAUCACCUGAAAUCAGGAGUUCAAGACCAGCCUAGGCAACAUGAUAAAACCCUGUCUCUACUAAAAAUACAAAAUUAGCCAGGCAUGGUGGCAUGCACCUGUAAUCCCAGCUACUUGGGAGACUGAGGGAGGAGAAUCACUUGAACCUGGGAGGCAGAGAUUGCAGUGAGCUGAGAUCACACCACUGCACUCCAGCCUGGGCAAUAGAGUGAGACUUUGUCUCAAAUAAUAAUAAUAAUAAUCAGACCAAGUAUAAUGAAAUUAAAAUUUAUUUUGCAAAUAAAUUGGUCCUACUACAAUUUAUCCUUCAUAGAAAUGUGGAAACUGAAGAUAAAAAAAAUUAGGUUUCAGAAGAAAACUAUACUACACCUGUUAUUAGAUUCUAGCCCUAAACAUUGUUUUUGAGGUUUUUAUUAUUUACCUGCAAUUUGGUCUAAAUUCUGAAUUAUUUCCUGACUACAAGUAUCCAAGGAAUAAAUGGGUUUUCUUUUUCUUUAUGAUAGUUUUAGUUGGCUUCUAAUGCAACAACAAUUUUUAUUGUAAUCCUGUGUGCAUUCUAUUCCUACUAUUCAAAUUAUUAAUGUUAUAGAUCUUUCAUUGUAGUACUUCUGAAUUAACCAAAAUCACAGUAUUCUGAAGAUGAUUCUACAAAGCCUGCUGUUUCUACAAAGGCUGCUGAUGAUUUCUACAAAGCCUGCUGUAGUGUUGCUGUGGCCUCUGCUUAAAAAAGUAGAAAACACAUUGAUGCAGCAUGUUCACCCCAACCUCCCUGCCUAAAGGCUCAGGGACCAUCUUGGAAGAGGAAGGCGCGUGAGAUUGUAAGAGCCGAAUUAGGGGGAUGGAGUGUGGAGAAUAAGGACACUUCAUCUUGGAUGCUCACCUGCCAAAUUGACUUCUGAUGAAAGCCAGCUCCAGAAAUGUGCCUACAGUUACUACUUUCACCUAAACCCUGCCCUUAGUCAAAUCCUUCUCUUCUUCUAAGCAAUCAACUUCAAUUCCUUGUAUAACCCACAGUAUAAAAGGGCUUUUAUACCAUUCUAUCCUAUUGCAUGUAAGCCUUGGGUCUGGGAGGUAACAGUGUGGGAUUCCACCAUCUCAUCUCCCUGCCACCCAAACAUGCCUGCUCUUCUUUAAGCA
rnacentral:lncRNA from 1 species